GUCGCUGACAAAGGGAGGCAGUGACCCCUAGCGGCCGGCGACGGGGCACGAGCUGCUUGGCGGGGGUGGAGUUAAGAUGGGGCGGGGGUGGCGGUGGGGGAGCCUGCCAUGAGGAGAAUCGUGGAUCGAGUCAUGUCCGAGCUGAAAGGGCUUCUGCAGCCUCUCCCCUCCACCCUGGCCCCAUUUUACAGCUCCUUGUUCUUUAGGACUCAGUUCACGUGUGUCCCUUCCUCCUGGUGACCCCCUCAUCCCUCAAAGCAGGCAGUGGUGAGCCGUGGAAGGUUUCUGAACAGAGAAGCGCUUAUGGAGAGCUGUCAGAGCUGUGCUUCCAGGAGAGGGAUCUGGCAACAAUGUGGGCAGGACAGACAGAUGACGAUUGGAAGAGCAAGCACCACCGAUGUGCCUCCGCUGGGAAGCGCCAGGACCAAUGGGCAGCCGUGUGAGGGGAGCAGAUUGUAGCUGGUUCAGGGGAGACUGUGGCCUCCGAGUUGACGGCUGAUGGAAUGAACUCCGUCACCUUCCGACCGAGGCCACGGGUCCACGUGUCACGGUCGCCGUGGACGGAAUUCCUGUCCUGCCUUGGAGAGGAGACGAUGGCUUCCACGUUCCUUCCUGGCCCUGCGGCUUGAUGACUGCGGAGGUGACAGCUCAUUCAAAGGACGGGCAGCUGGGCUUACCUUUGUCACCCACCCCAGGCUGGGGGCAGUGACGGGGGCAUCCAGACAGAGGACAGCCCUGAGAAAGGUGCUCACCCCAAAGCUCCCUCAGCUUCCACAGGCUUUCUCAGAAAGGCAGCUGUUGGCUUAGAAAAGACCCAAACAGUUAAUAAUGGCUUCCCCUCCUGGCCGUCCCCAAAGCCCCUUUGUGUCAUUCAAUAACUGACCAGUAAAGCCUACUUUGAUGUGAGGGGAACCCUCUUAAGAAGUCCCCAAGAUUCCCCAGUCCUCUGAGUUCUCUUACUGGGGCAGACAUCUCAGCGCCUAGGGCAAGAUGUGUUGGAAUAGGGUGCCGCAUGAGGGUCACUCCUUUUUGCGUCUCCAGUCUGGGGUCAGUUGAGAUUGAGUUGAAAGAAGAUGAGAGGAGGAGGGAUCCCACAGAGGAAGCAUGGCCAAAACCCCAACCCCAGAGCACCCCCCUACACACACACACAGAUGCCCACUUUCCUAACUUGAGAGGCCAACCUCACCCCAGGCAGUGCUCCUGGGGGUAGUUGGGAAACCGCGGGUCCUAAUUACUGUUAUCAUCCCCUUGGUAGCUGUGGUGAUUAUGCUGGUGCCUCUGUCUCCCACAGUGCUUAGCAACAUUUAAUUAUUGUUAUUCCUGCAGAGAUCACUGCAUAGCCUCCCCAUUGGCAUGGCUGUCAUUGCUCUUGGGGAUGGAUCAGCUGAACGCAGCUGCACCCCACCCCAACAU